rnacentral:siRNA from 1 species
UAGUAAUCAGAGUGAGCAUCCAU